rnacentral:rRNA from 1 species
CCUACGGGAGGCAGCAGUGGGGAAUCUUGCGCAAUGGGCGAAAGCCUGACGCAGCAACGCCGCGUGCGGGAAGAAGGCUUUCGGGCUGUAAACCGCUUUCAGCAGGAACGAAAAUGACGGUACCUGCAGAAGAAGGAGCGGCCAACUAUGUGCCAGCAGCCGCGGUGAUACAUAGGCUUCAAGCGUUGUCCGGAUUUAUUGGGCGUAAAGAGUUCGUAGGCGGUCGAGUAAGUCGGGUGUGAAAAUUCUGGGCUCAACCCAGAGACGCCACCCGAUACUGCUUAACUUGAGUUCGAUAGGGGAGUGGGGAAUUCCUAGUGUAGCGGUGAAAUGCGCAGAUAUUAGGAGGAACACCGGUGGCGAAGGCGCCACUCUGGAUCGAUACUGACGCUGAGGAACGAAAGCAUGGGUAGCAAACAGGAUUAGAUACCCUGGUAGUCCAUGCCGUAAACGGUGGGCACUAGGUGUGGGAUUCUAUUAACGAAUUCCGCGCCGUCGCUAACGCAUUAAGUGCCCCGCCUGGGGAGUACGGUCGCAAGCUAAAACUCAAAUGAAUUGACGG